AUUGAACGCUGGCGGCAUGCUUUACACAUGCAAGUCGAACGGCAGCGCGGGCUUCGGCCUGGCGGCGAGUGGCGAACGGGUGAGUAAUACAUCGGAACGUGCCCAGUAGUGGGGGAUAGCUCGGCGAAAGCCGGAUUAAUACCGCAUACGACCUGAGGGUGAAAGCGGGGGAUCUUCGGACCUCGCGCUAUUGGAGCGGCCGAGGGCAGAUUAGCUAGUUGGUGGGGUAAAGGCCUACCAAGGCGACGAUCUGUAGCUGGUCUGAGAGGACGACCAGCCACACUGGGACUGAGACACGGCCCAGACUCCUACGGGAGGCAGCAGUGGGGAAUGUUGGACAAUGGGCGAAAGCCUGAUCCAGCAAUGCCGCGUGUGUGAUGAAGGCCUUCGGGUUGUAAAGCACUUUUGGCGGGAACGAAAAGGACUGUGCCAAUACCACGGUGCGAUGACGGUACCCGCAGAAUAAGCACCGGCUAACUACGUG
rnacentral:rRNA from 1 species